CUUGGAAGUGAACAGGAAGAGCACAAGAUCCAGAUGGCUUGUAGGACAUCAAGAGAACACAGUUUUAUGAAUCAACUGAACAAGGCUCGUAUGAACCCACAGAGAAUGAAACACACGAAGGAGAAGAACGUUCCUGGGAAAGGAAAGGCAAUCCAGGGACAAUGACCCUGAUGGCCCACUACAGGAUUGCAAAGUUUGGAACCAAUGGAAACUAUAUCUCACAUCAAAAUUGUUGCUGUUCAGCUGUUAUCACAUUGUCCCAAACUGGAAACAGAGGUACACCUUCAACACAUCAACUUGAAAAAUGAAAUAAA